AGCGAACGCUGGCGGCAGGCUUAACACAUGCAAGUCGAGCGGGCACCUCUCGGGGUGUCCGCGGCGGACGGGUGAGUAACGCGUGGGAACGUGCCCUCUGGUUCGGAAUAACUCAGGGAAACUUGAGCUAAUACCGGAUACGCCCUUUUGGGGGAAGGCUGGCUGCGGGAGGAUCGGCCCGCGUCUGAUUGGCUAGGUGGUGAGGUAACGGCUCCCCAAGGCGACGGUCAGUAGCUGGUCCGAGGGGAGGAUCAGCCACACUGGGACUGAGACACGGACCAGACUCCGACGGGAGGGAGCGGUGUGGAAUAUUGGACGAGGGGCGCAAGCCUGAUCCAGCCGUGCCGGGUGAGUGAUGAAGGCGUUAGGGUUGUAAAGCUCUUUUAUCCGAGACGAUAAUGACGGUACCGGAGGAAUAAGCCCCGGCUAACUUCGUG
rnacentral:rRNA from 1 species